rnacentral:rRNA from 1 species
UUCUGGCAGGAGUGACCGGUCACACACUCUGUGUGUGAACUCGCGUUGUCUCUGGCCAUCCUUGGGGAGAUCCUGUUUGGCAUUAAGUUGUCGGGCAGGGGAUACCCAUCGUUUACUGUGAAAAAAUUAGAGUGUUUAAAGCAGGCUUAUGCCGUUGAAUAUAUUAGCAUGGAAUAAUAAGAUAGGACUUCGGAACUAUUUUGUUGGUUUGCGUUACGAAGUAAUGAUUAAUAGGGACAGUUGGGGGUAUUCGUAUUUCGUUGUCAGAGGUGAAAUUCUUGGAUUUCCGAAAGACGAACUACUGCGAAAGCAUUUACCAAGGAUGUUUUCAUUAAUCAAGAACGAAAGUUAGGGGAUCGAAGAUGAUUAGAUACCAUCGUAGUCUUAACCAUAAACUAUGCCGACUCGGGAUUGGUGGUUGUUUUUUGACUCCAUCAGCACCGUAUGAGAAAUCAAAGUCUUUGGGUUCCGGGGGGAGUAUGGUCGCAAGGCUGAAACUUAAAGAAAUUGACGGA